rnacentral:rRNA from 1 species
AUGGAUCGGCAUGCCCUAUUGUGGACGAAGUUUGCCAGGGACUUGGUCUUUGACAUCGAAGAGUGGAUCGACGAGCCAAAGGCCACAUAUUUCUCGGAGAGAGAGAUGACUGCUUUGUUCAAGUCCCGGAUCCGCAAUGUGCUUGAGCAGUUCACGUGGUGCGACCUUCUCAGUCCAACUGAAGAUCGCUUCAAGAUCAUUGAUGAUUUACAUAAAGAUCUGGAGAGCCUUAAAAAGGAUCUCCCAUAUAAGUUUGGGCCACCGAUGAGUCUUGAGCAGUCAGUGUGGAUGGAUCGAACAUGUUUUUUUUUUUGA